CCCGACGGCGGCGCGGCG
rnacentral:miRNA from 1 species